rnacentral:rRNA from 1 species
UACAGAGGCCUCGAGCGUUAGGCGGAAUCACUGGGCUUAAAGCGUGUGUAGGCGGAUGUCUAAGUGCUUUGUGAAAUCCCACGGCUCAACCGUGGAAUUGCUUGGCAUACUGGAUGUCUUGAGCCAUCUAGGGGCGAGCGGAACAAGUGGUGGAGCGGUGAAAUGCGUAGAUAUCCGGAGGAACACCGGUGGCGAAGGCGGCUUCCUGGACCGACACUGACGCUGAGGCGCGAAAGCUAGGGGAGCAAACGGG